rnacentral:rRNA from 1 species
AUGCUAGCAAUGGUCCACCAGCAUCAGGAGGUGUCGUGCGUUCCGCCGGGGUUCAGGUUCCACCCAACGGAGGAGGAGCUGGUGGGGUACUACUUGGCCCAGAAGGUGGCCGCCCAGAAGAUCGACCUCGACAUCAUCCCGGAGGUGGAUCUCUACCGGAUAGAGCCAUGGGACCUCCAAGAGAGGUGCGGCGGCGGCAGGGGUGGAGGCGGAGGACUGCCGGAUCAGCAGGACCAGUCGUCGUCGGACUGGUACUUCUUCAGCUUCAAGGACCGCAAGUACCCCAGCGGCACGCGCACCAACCGCGCCACGGCGGCCGGGUUCUGGAAGGCCACCGGCAGGGACAAGCCGGUGAUGUCGUCGCGGAGCCGUGGCGUGAUCGGCAUGAGGAAGACGCUCGUCUUCUACAGGGGGCGGGCACCCAACGGUAGGAAAACCGACUGGAUCAUCCAUGAGUACCGCCUCCAGACAAGCGAGCACGCGCCCACACAGGAGGAAGGUUGGGUGGUGUGCCGGGCGUUCCAGAAGCCGACCCCAAACCAGAGGCCAUCCUACAUCUUCCCCGCAUACUCCGCGGCUCCAGGUCUUGGUGACUACUACGACGCGCGGUCCUUGCUGCACGACCAAGGCGGCGGCUUCGGCUUCCCCGGCCAGGGUGCCCAGCACUCCUCCUAUGACCCACUGGAUAGCAAGCAGAGCAUCUUCAGCAACAUCCCGCAGCUCAUCGAGAGCCCGCCGACAACCACCGCCGUUGCUGGUUGCGGCGACGCUGGCUAUGACGUCGUCCAGCAGGGACAGGCCGCAACCGGCAUCGACUGGAACUUUCUGGAUAGCUUGCUGUGA